rnacentral:rRNA from 1 species
GAUGGACGCUGGCGGCGUGCCUAAUACAUGCAAGUCGAGCGAACGGACGAGAAGCUUGCUUCUCUGAUGUUAGCGGCGGACGGGUGAGUAACACGUGGAUAACCUACCUAUAAGACUGGGAUAACUUCGGGAAACCGGAGCUAAUACCGGAUAAUAUUUUGAACCGCAUGGUUCAAAAGUGAAAGACGGUCUUGCUGUCACUUAUAGAUGGAUCCGCGCUGCAUUAGCUAGUUGGUAAGGUAACGGCUUACCAAGGCAACGAUGCAUAGCCGACCUGAGAGGGUGAUCGGCCACACUGGAACUGAGACACGGUCCAGACUCCUACGGGAGGCAGCAGUAGGGAAUCUUCCGCAGUGGGCGAAAGCCUGACGGAGCAACGCCGCGUGAGUGAUGAAGGUCUUCGGAUCGUAAAACUCUGUUAUUAGGGAAGAACAUAUGUGUAAGUAACUGUGCACAUCGUGACGGUACCUAAUCAGAAAGCCACGGCUAACUACGUG